GAAGUUGAGUCGGUACAGCACGAGACUCUUGAUCUCAAGGUUGUGGGUUCGAGCCCCAGGUUGGGCC